GUAGGGAAUAUUGGGCAAUGGAGGCAACUCUGACCCAGCCAUGCCGCGUGCAGGAUGACGGCCCUCUGGGUUGUAAACUGCUUUUAUACGGGAAGAAAAAAUACUACGUGUAGUAUACUGACGGUACCGUAAGAAUAAGGAUCGGCUAACUCCGUGCCAGCAGCCGCGGUAAUACGGAGGAUCCAAGCGUUGUCCGGAUUUAUUGGGUUUAAAGGGUGCGUAGGCGGAUCUUUAAGUCAGUGGUGAAAGCCUGCAGCUUAACUGUAGAAUUGCCAUUGAAACUGAAGAUCUUGAAUGUGGUUAAAGUAGGCGGAAUGUAUCAUGUAGCGGUGAAAUGCUUAGAUAUGAUACAGAACACCGAUAGCGAAGGCAGCUUGCUGAACCAUUAUUGACGCUGAGGCACGAAAGCGUGGGGAGCGAACAGGAUUAGAUACCCUGGUAGUCC
rnacentral:rRNA from 1 species